AUGGACACGGUCAAGGGACACAAGGGGGGUGACCACGAGCUGGUCAGGCAGCUUUUAGUCGGAGUCAACUUGUGGUUUGUGAAGACACGGGUGGACAUGGCUGUGGGGAAAGACCAGGUGGAGACAGAGACGGCCAAGGAAAUUCUGGGGCUUGCAGUACAGACCAUUGGGCAUCCUUGUUCAUGCCAUGCAUUUCGUGUUGUUGACAGUCUCUUGGGAGCCAGCAUGAGAACAUCAGAAAGUCCUAUGGAAGGGGAGUUCCUGUUGUGGUUCAGCAGUAACAAAUCUGGCUAGUAUCCAUGAGGACACGGGUUCAAUCCCUGGCUUCGCUCAGUGGGUUAAGGAUUCGGUGUUGCCAUGAACUUUGGUGUAGGUCGAAGACAUGGCUUGGACUCUGUGUUGCUGUGGCUGUGACAUAGG
rnacentral:lncRNA from 1 species